rnacentral:rRNA from 1 species
AGAGUUUGAUCCUGGCUCAGAUUGAACGCUGAGGCUUAACACAUGCAAGUCGAACGGCAGCACGGGUGCUUGCACCUGGUGGCGAGUGGCGAACGGGUGAGUAAUAUAUCGGAACGUACCUUAUUGUGGGGGAUAACGCAGCGAAAGCUGUGCUAAUACCGCAUAAUCCCUAAGGGGGAAAGCGGGGGACCGUAAGGCCUCGCGCAAUUAGAGCGGCCGAUACCUGAUUAGCUAGUUGGUGAGGUAAAGGCUCACCAAGGCAACGAUCAGUAGCUGGUCUGAGAGGACGAUCAGCCACACUGGGACUGAGACACGGCCCAGACUCCUACGGGAGGCAGCAGUGGGGAAUUUUGGACAAUGGGGGCAACCCUGAUCCAGCAGUGCCGCGUGAGUGAAGAAGGCCUUCGGGUUGUAAAGCUCUUUUGUCAGGGAAGAAACAGCAGCUCUAACACAGUUUGCUAAUGACGGUACCUGAAGAAUAAGCACCGGCUAACUACGUGCCAGCAGCCGCGGUAAUACGUAGGGUGCAAGCGUUAAUCGGAAUUACUGGGCGUAAAGCGUGCGCAGGCGGUUAUGUAAGACAGGCGUGAAAUCCCCGGGCUUAACCUGGGAAUUGCGCUUGUGACUGCAUAGCUAGAGUAUGUCAGAGGGGGGUAGAAUUCCACGUGUAGCAGUGAAAUGCGUAGAGAUGUGGAGGAAUACCAAUGGCGAAGGCAGCCCCCUGGGAUAAUACUGACGCUCAUGCACGAAAGCGUGGGGGAGCAAACAGGAUUAGAUACCCUGGUAGUCCACGCCCUAAACGAUGCUGACUAGUUGUUCGGGAAUUUAUUCCUGAGUAACGUAGCUAACGCGUGAAGUCAGCCGCCUGGGGAGUACGGUCGCAAGAUUAAAACUCAAAGGAAUUGACGGGGACCCGCACAAGCGGUGGAUGAUGUGGAUUAAUUCGAUGCACGCGAAAA